rnacentral:lncRNA from 1 species
CUUACCCUCAUAGGCUCAGCAUCACUGCAACCAUUAGAUUUCACUCCCAUCACGCUCAGUUACCUGUGCCACCAGCACUGCUUCCACCACACUGUUCCUUUAACCCUGGCCGUGCUUACUUUGGGCUAUUAGGCCUCUGACCUCUGCCCACCAUGACACCUGGUGUAUUUUCACACCAACAGCAGUUAAUUUGCUGUUCACUUACAUAGUGUAUUAAAGAGACCACACAAGGGAGAAACAUAGUUUAUUGUUUGGAGUGGGGAUCUGAGUGAAGGUGUUUGUGCACGUUUAUUGGGAGUUUAUUAAAAGUUGUAUAGCUGGAGUGGGUUUGUGUUUGAGCCCUUGAGGAUGUUUAAUAAGUUUUCGAUAGGCCCUUGGCUUCCGGAAAUUAAAAGAUUCUUAGCACAGAAAGUGCGCAGUGUUACAUUAUGCAAAUCACUAGUAGUUUGAUUAUCAUCCUUGUCUCAGUAUUACCGUCUGGAUUCACAAGUGGUCAUCUAAAACAUUGUAAACACAAAUGUGAGCAAAAUGCAACCAAUAUUAAUGUGUACUAAGGGAUACGUCCUCAUAACAGUAUGAAAUAAUUUACUAUAACCUUACUAAAACCAUAAAUAUUUAACCCCUUGUGGAAAACCAAAUAGAGCAAAUAGAAAAUGCAAAAUCAUAUAUUGUCGCUCACCCCACCUUGACUCAAAACAAUAUAAAUUAUACAAACUGGUCUAAUUUGUCUAUACGCAAUACCCCACCUUGAGAGUAUAAAUUAAAACAAAAACAAACAAAGAAUAACCAUUAUAAUUCUAUUGUUCACCCAACCUUGACCCAAGGAAAUGUAAAAUAUAUGCAAUUAUCUGUUUU